AACGAACGCUGGCGGCAUGCCUAACACAUGCAAGUCGAACGAGACCAUCGGGUCUAGUGGCGCACGGGUGCGUAACGCGUGGGAACCUUCCCUUAUGUUCGGAAUAACUCCCCGAAAGGGGUGCUAAUACCGGAUAAUGUCUUCUGACCAAACAUUUAUCGCACUUGGUUGGGCCCGCGUUGGAUUAGCUAUUUGGUAGGGUAAAAGCCUACCAAGGCGACGAUCCAUAGCUGGUCUGAGAGACUGAUCAGCAACACUGCGACUGAGACACGGCCGAGACUCCUACGGGAGGCAGCAAUGGGGAAUAUUGGACAAUCGGCGAAAGCCUGAUCCAGUACGGCCGCGUGAGUGAUGAUGGCCUUAGGGUUGUAAAGCUCUUUUACCCGUGAUGAUAAUGACAGUACCGAAAGAAUAAGCUCCGGCUAACUCCGUG
rnacentral:rRNA from 1 species